rnacentral:rRNA from 1 species
CAGCAGCCGCGGUAAAACGUAGGUGGCAAGCGUUGUCCGGAAUUAUUGGGCGUAAAGGGCUCGCAGGCGGUUUCUUAAGUCUGAUGUGAAAGCCCCCGGCUCAACCGGGGAGGGUCAUUGGAAACUGGGAAACUUGAGUGCAGAAGAGGAGAGUGGAAUUCCACGUGUAGCGGUGAAAUGCGUAGAGAUGUGGAGGAACACCAGUGGCGAAGGCGACUCUCUGGUCUGUAACUGACGCAGAGGAGCGAAAGCGUGGGGAGCGAACAGGAUUAGAUACCCCUGUAGUCCCUGUCUCUUAUAC